AGCUCCAAUAGCGUAUAUUAAAGUUGUUGCAGUUAAAAAGCUCGUAGUUGGAUUUCUGUUAGGAUCACUCGGCCCGCUCUUUGAGUGUGCGCUUGAGAAAUCUUAGCAUCCUCCUGGUGUAUCUGUCCUUUGGGCAGUUUUCCAGGACUUUUACUUUGAGAAAAUUAGAGUGUUUCAAGCAGGCUUGUUGCCUUGAAUACUGCAGCAUGGAAUAAUAAGAUAGGAUUUUGGUCCUAUUUUGUUGGUUUCUAGGACUAAAGUAAUGAUUAAUAGGGACAGUUGGGGGCAUUCGUAUUUAACUGUCAGAGGUGAAAUUCUUAGAUUUGUUAAAGACGAACUACUGCGAAAGCAUUUGCCAAGGAUGUUUUCA
rnacentral:rRNA from 1 species